UACAUGGAUCAGAUAUUUUUCCAUCUACGCAUUCAACUUAUCAUUCGCAGGCAAGUGGACCUCUUGGGAUUGGAUUAAGGCCAUUAAAUUCUCCAAAUACAGUCUCUAGUAUGGGUCAGUAUGACCAGAUCCUCCAGCAGUAUCAAUAGCACCAGAAGUUGUCGUAGUUCCGCCUUCAAAUGUCAACCGUAAAUUAGUUGUUUGGGGAUCAGGGCAUGAAAGCUAUGCAAACUGCACAAUCCACACCAGAUCCAUUUGGUUUGCUUGGCUUGUUAAGUGUGAUCAGGAUGAGUGAUCCAGACUUGACAUCUCUUGCACUUGGAUUGAUCUUACUACACUUGGAUUAAAUUUGAAUUCAUCUGAAAAUCUACACAAGACGUUUGGGUCUCCAUGGUCCGAUGAACCUGCAAAGGGUGAUCCAGAGUUUAAUGUGCCACAAUGUUAUUACGCAAAGCAGCCCCCUGCUUUACAUGUGAGGUUUUUUAAUUAUGCCAUAGAAUCGAUUUCUUUAUUUGCAAAUCCUUCAUUAGGCUUACUGCUUGUUGCAUGAUGCAGCAAGGUUACCUUUCAAAGUUUUCAGUGGAAACAUUGUUUUACAUAUUCUACAGCAUGCCCAAAGACGAAGCACAAUUAUAUGCUGCAAAUUAAAUGAGUUGCACAAUAAAGGAUGGUAUUAUCACAAAGAGAAUCAUUUCUGGUUUAUAAGAGUUCCCAACAUGGAGC